GACGAACGCUGGCGGCGUGCUUAACACAUGCAAGUCGAACGGAAAGGCCCUGCUUUUGUGGGGUGCUCGAGUGGCGAACGGGUGAGUAACACGUGAGUAACCUGCCCUUGACUUUGGGAUAACUUCAGGAAACUGGGGCUAAUACCGGAUAGGAGCUCCUGCUGCAUGGUGGGGGUGGGAAAGUUUCGGCGGUUGGGGAUGGACUCGCGGCUUAUCAGCUUGUUGGUGGGGUAGUGGCUUACCAAGGCUUUGACGGGUAGCCGGCCUGAGAGGGUGACCGGCCACAUUGGGACUGAGAUACGGCCCAGACUCCUACGGGAGGCAGCAGUGGGGAAUAUUGCACAAUGGGCGGAAGCCUGAUGCAGCAACGCCGCGUGCGGGAUGACGGCCUUCGGGUUGUAAUCCGCUUUCGCCUGUGACGAAGCGUGAGUGACGGUAAUGGGUAAAGAAGCACCGGCUAACUACGUG
rnacentral:rRNA from 1 species